rnacentral:rRNA from 1 species
CCGGUACGGGCUAAACCCGGCCAAAGGGAGGCCAAGGCCGUACGAAGGUGGGUCAGCGAUUGGGGUG